GGGUUGUGAGGUUAAGCGACUAAGCGUACACGGUGGAUGCCCUGGCAGUCAGAGGCGAUGAAGGACGUGCUAAUCUGCGAAAAGCGCCGGCGAGGUGAUAUGAACCUUUGACCCGGCGAUGUCCGAAUGGGGAAACCCAGUGCAAUUCGUUGCACUAUCGUUAACUGAAUACAUAGGUUAACGAGGCGAACCGGGGGAACUGAAACAUCUAAGUACCCCGAGGAAAAGAAAUCAACCGAGAUUCCCCCAGUAGCGGCGAGCGAACGGGGAGCAGCCCAGAGUCUGAAUCAGCUUGUGUGUUAGUGGAAGCGUCUGGAAAGUCGCACGGUACAGGGUGACAGUCCCGUACACGAAAGCACACAGGCUGUGAACUCGAAGAGUAGGGCGGGACACGUGGUAUCCUGUCUGAAUAUGGGGGGACCAUCCUCCAAGGCUAAAUACUCCUGACUGACCGAUAGUGAACCAGUACCGUGAGGGAAAGGCGAAAAGAACCCCGGCGAGGGGAGUGAAAAAGAACCUGAAACCGUGUACGUACAAGCAGUGGGAGCACCUUCGUGGUGUGACUGCGUACCUUUUGUAUAAUGGGUCAGCGACUUAUAUUCUGUAGCAAGGUUAACCGUAUAGGGGAGCCGAAGGGAAACCGAGUCUUAACUGGGCGUUAAGUUGCAGGGUAUAGACCCGAAACCCGGUGAUCUAGCCAUGGGCAGGUUGAAGGUUGGGUAACACUAACUGGAGGACCGAACCGACUAAUGUUGAAAAAUUAGCGGAUGACUUGUGGCUGGGGGUGAAAGGCCAAUCAAACCGGGAGAUAGCUGGUUCUCCCCGAAAGCUAUUUAGGUAGCGCCUCGUGAACUCAUCUUCGGGGGUAGAGCACUGUUUCGGCUAGGGGGCCAUCCCGGCUUACCAACCCGAUGCAAACUACGAAUACCGAAGAAUGUUAUCACGGGAGACACACGGCGGGUGCUAACGUCCGUCGUGAAGAGGGAAACAACCCAGACCGCCAGCUAAGGUCCCAAAGUCAUGGUUAAGUGGGAAACGAUGUGGGAAGGCACAGACAGCCAGGAUGUUGGCUUAGAAGCAGCCAUCAUUUAAAGAAAGCGUAAUAGCUCACUGGUCGAGUCGGCCUGCGCGGAAGAUGUAACGGGGCUAAACCAUGCACCGAAGCUGCGGCAGCGACGCUUAUGCGUUGUUGGGUAGGGGAGCGUUCUGUAAGCCGUUGAAGGUGUCCUGUGAGGGGUGCUGGAGGUAUCAGAAGUGCGAAUGCUGACAUAAGUAACGAUAAAGCGGGUGAAAAGCCCGCUCGCCGGAAGACCAAGGGUUCCUGUCCAACGUUAAUCGGGGCAGGGUGAGUCGACCCCUAAGGCGAGGCCGAAAGGCGUAGUCGAUGGGAAACAGGUUAAUAUUCCUGUACUUGGUGUUACUGCGAAGGGGGGACGGAGAAGGCUAUGUUAGCCGGGCGACGGUUGUCCCGGUUUAAGCAUGUAGGCGGAGGUUCCAGGUAAAUCCGGUACCUUUUAACGCUGAGGUGUGAUGACGAGGCACUACGGUGCUGAAGUAACAAAUGCCCUGCUUCCAGGAAAAGCCUCUAAGCAUCAGGUAACACGAAAUCGUACCCCAAACCGACACAGGUGGUCAGGUAGAGAAUACCAAGGCGCUUGAGAGAACUCGGGUGAAGGAACUAGGCAAAAUGGUGCCGUAACUUCGGGAGAAGGCACGCUGAUAUGUAGGUGAAGCCCCUGCGGGUGGAGCUGAAAUCAGUCGAAGAUACCAGCUGGCUGCAACUGUUUAUUAAAAACACAGCACUGUGCAAACACGAAAGUGGACGUAUACGGUGUGACGCCUGCCCGGUGCCGGAAGGUUAAUUGAUGGGGUUAGCGGCAACGCGAAGCUCUUGAUCGAAGCCCCGGUAAACGGCGGCCGUAACUAUAACGGUCCUAAGGUAGCGAAAUUCCUUGUCGGGUAAGUUCCGACCUGCACGAAUGGCGUAAUGAUGGCCAGGCUGUCUCCACCCGAGACUCAGUGAAAUUGAACUCGCUGUGAAGAUGCAGUGUACCCGCGGCAAGACGGAAAGACCCCGUGAACCUUUACUAUAGCUUGACACUGAACACUGGUCCUUGAUGUGUAGGAUAGGUGGGAGGCUUUGAAGCGUGGACGCCAGUCUGCGUGGAGCCGUCCUUGAAAUACCACCCUUUAAUGGCUGGUGUUCUAACGUAGACCCGUAAUCCGGGUUGCGGACAGUGUCUGGUGGGUAGUUUGACUGGGGCGGUCUCCUCCCAAAGAGUAACGGAGGAGCACGAAGGUUAGCUAAUCCUGGUCGGACAUCAGGAGGUUAGUGCAAUGGCAUAAGCUAGCUUGACUGCGAGAGUGACGGCUCGAGCAGGUGCGAAAGCAGGUCAUAGUGAUCCGGUGGUUCUGAAUGGAAGGGCCAUCGCUCAACGGAUAAAAGGUACUCCGGGGAUAACAGGCUGAUACCGCCCAAGAGUUCAUAUCGACGGCGGUGUUUGGCACCUCGAUGUCGGCUCAUCACAUCCUGGGGCUGAAGUAGGUCCCAAGGGUAUGGCUGUUCGCCAUUUAAAGUGGUACGCGAGCUGGGUUUAGAACGUCGUGAGACAGUUCGGUCCCUAUCUGCCGUGGGCGCUGGAGAAUUGAGGGGGGCUGCUCCUAGUACGAGAGGACCGGAGUGGACGCAUCACUGGUGUUCGGGUUGUCAUGCCAAUGGCACUGCCCGGUAGCUAAAUGCGGAAAAGAUAAGUGCUGAAAGCAUCUAAGCACGAAACUUGCCCCGAGAUGAGUUCUCCCUGACCCUUUAAGGGUCCUGAAGGAACGUUGAAGACGACGACGUUGAUAGGUCGGGUGUGUAAGCGCAGCGAUGCGUUGAGCUAACCGAUACUAAUGAACCGUGAGGCUUAACCUUACAACGCCGAAGCUGUU
rnacentral:rRNA from 1 species